rnacentral:rRNA from 1 species
UGAGGAAUAUUGGACAAUGGGCGCAAGCCUGAUCCAGCCAUGCCGCGUGAGUGAUGAAGGCCUUAGGGUUGUAAAACUCUUUUAGUGGGGAAAAUAAUGAUGGUACCCACAGAAAAAGCUCCGGCUAACUUCGUGCCAGCAGCCGCGGUAAUACGAAGGGAGCUAGCGUUACUCGGAAUCACUGGGCGUAAAGCGCAUGUAGGCGGAAAUACAAGUCAGAGGUGAAAGCCCUGGGCUCAACCCAGGAAUUGCCUUUGAAACUGUAUUUCUUGAGUAUGACAGAGGAUGGUGGAAUUUCCAGUGUAGAGGUGAAAUUCGUAGAUAUUGGAAAGAACACCGGUGGCGAAGGCGACCAUCUGGGUCAUAACUGACGCUGAGAUGCGAAAGCGUGGGGAGCGAACGG